GGGUCGAUGCCCGAGCGGUUAAUGGGGACGGACUGUAAAUUCGUUGACGAUAUGUCUACGCUGGUUCAAAUCCAGCUCGGCCCA
rfam:Zea mays cultivar B73 chromosome 8, whole genome shotgun sequence.